UGGAGUUGGGUCUCGAAUCCGCAAUCCUCAGAUUUCAAAACUGAGACCUUACCACUAGGCCACAACACC